UCUGCCUCCAACACAUCUCACCCCUUUCUAUCGAUCUAAACUCUCCAUAUCCUCCGUUUAUCACUGAAGACGAUGUCGGGAAAGAAGAAACAGAAGAAGAUGCUCACCUCCACUGCGAAGACACCAUCUCCCCUUCCCUCGCAGUACGAAUUCGUUCCAAGAACUCAAGCGCCUCCGCCUGUCCCGAACCGCCAACCUCCACCAUCUGUGUCUGACUAUCCACCUCCGGCACAGCUUUUCCAGGACUCGACGGUCCAAUCCAGAAGAGCUUCAACUCCAUCGCCACAACCUCGAGGGUCUCAGACUUCACAGCCUCGAGGGUCUCAGACUUCACAGCCUCGAGGGUCUCAGACUUCACAGGGUCUCAGACUUCAGCGACUCGACAACCACAAUCUCAAUCUCAGAGCACUUCCGAAGCUCAGAACUCACAGACUGCAGAAGAUCAGAAGAUGAAGAAUUUCCUCAUGUAGAACCGACUCUCUCCAAAGACCAGAUGGAUGUUGUCAAUGCUCUUCUCUCCCAGCCAGGCAGGGAGCGCUUAACUACCCUUUCUCCCUACUUGGAGCCUGGAACCACUUGGUACUUUCUUAUCUUGAAGCUUAAUUUUGAUUGGGUUUGGAAAUGAUGAGCUUUCUUGUACUUGUGAAUGUUUUUUCUCUUCUAAAUGUUUGGUCUUUUAUUCAUUACGGUUUAAAGGGUAAUGACUUGUUUCUUUUGUCUUGUAAAGGUUUAGUCUUUUGUUCAUUAUGGGUCUUGUAAAGGUUUAGUCUUUUGACUAAAGCUUAAAGCUGCAAGCUGUAAUGAACAAAAAGACUAAAGCUUAAACCUUUAAUGACUUGUUCAUAACGAGUUGCUUGUUUGUCUUGUGAAUGAGUAGUCUUUGUGAUUGUUUUCAGUUUUAUCAUUUACGGGUUUAAGCUUUAGUCCUUUGAAUGUUUGUAAAUUUAAUUUGAUUACUAAUUGUGAUUAAUGUUUGUUGAAUAUCGAUGAAUGUAUUUUAUAUCACUCUCAGCCUAAUAUGAUGUUUCUGUGUUUCUAGGUUUGGUUCGGACAAGGGUAAACUGACUCGGAAGAUCACUAAGAUCUUUAAAAACAAGUUUAACGGUCAAUACUACAGCUGGACUGUUGUGCCUCGGCGAAGACAAGAAAGAUGGUUUGUAGAGUUUGCAGUUGAGUUAUUUUCUUCUAGACUUCGCAUUUCAACUUUGUUUAGUUUAAUUUGCUUUUUAAUAUCAACUUUCUCUUCUGUUGUAGAAAACUCACACAUGGCGUUCUACACUAACCGGUUUAGUUCAGGAGAAGUUUGAGAGGAUAGGUCAGCGCCGUCUCAAAGACAUUGUUAGCAAACGUAGGACUUCUCGAAAGAGACCAAACUGGAUUAAGAAAACUUUGUGGAGAAAAAUGUGUGCUUUUUGGGACACUGCUGAAGCCAAAGAAAAGAGUUUGACGACUUCAGCGGCUCGGAUGUCUGACCGUAAAGGUCUUGGUCCUCACAAGCACAACUCAGGGCAGAAGUCUUUCCAACAAAUCGAACAAGAAAUGGUAACUUCCUUUUCUUUAACCACUAAAAAAAAUUAUGUCUUAAUAUCCUUUACUUUGUUUACCAUUUCAGGUAGAGGAAUUGGGCAGACCGGUGACUCUUAGUGAAGUCUUCAUUAGGACUCAUACAAAAAAGGAUGGGACCUUUGUGGAUAUGAAAGCACAGGAGGUUGUUGAGGUGUAUCGGCGGAACAAACAGUCAAAGUUGGAUGACCUUGAGGCUGAAAACGCAGACCCUUCAGAGUCUAGUUCACAAGCACCAGCUCUCUAUAGAUGAGGAUAAUGAGAUAUUCCUCCUGGUAAAUUUUUUCUCUUAAGUUUUUGAUAUAUAAUCUGUUUUCUUUGGUUUUAUAUUUUACCUUUUAUACUUGAUGCUUGUUUCUUCUCGUUUUUGGUAGAUGAUACAUACUGUUUCCUCUGCUUUUAUUCUUUAUUUUCCCUUAUGUGAUACUUGUUUCUCUGGUUUAUACUUGUUGCUCUUGUUUCUCUGAUACAGGAUACUUGUUUCUUCUUGUUUUUGAUACAUCAUACUUGGUUCUUCUUGUUUUUGUAGUCUACUUACACAGACAAAGGAGGAAAACAUUAUGGAAUUGGAAGCCUCGAGAGUACUCUCGUCAAUGUAAAGCGGAAGUACAGUGAAUCCUCCUCAAUCCUAAAUCCUGGACCUGCAAACACAGCUUGAUGAAGCUCACCGCAAGAUCGAGGAGCAGGCUGCCCAGAAUGCAAUCGCUCUCCGCAAAAUCGAGGAGCAGGCUGCCCAAAACGCAAACAAUCUCCGCAUAAUCAAGGAGCAGGGUGCUCAUAGCGCAGAGCAAGGAAAACAGCUCAAGGAUUAUCUAGAGUGGACAAGUUUUUGACUGCAACAAAUCCUAAUACUCAGUACGUUGAAUACGUUGCAGCUAACAAGUCGGAUGAUUAGGUUCUCUUAUGAGAUCAGGUGUUAAAAUAUUUUGUGUACUUUGAAACUUAUGAUUAGGUGUUAAAAUAUUUUCAGCUUGUUAAACUCCUAUAAGAGAGGAGUUCUUUUGUAUCAAAUGUUUUAGCUUGUUAACAUUUUCAGUUUUUUAUUAUCAAUUGUUCCAAACAAUAAAAAAACAGGAAAUCAAGCAAAAUAAAAUUCAAAUCACAAAAUUUGGAAAUAAAUCUCGUUAUAUAGUCGCUGAUCAGUCAGCGCAUAAAUUAAUCAUUUGGCCCAACAAACAGUAGCAACGUAGUCGCCAACCAGUAGCAAAAUGGUAAAAUUUAACGACUGAUUGCCGACUAAAACUUUGCCACUGAUUCUCGACCACUAUAUUACGAUUGAUUUUACGACUGAUAUUUUCCAACUGAUCUGCGGUGAAAAUACAUGACCUUAUUACUACAAAAAAGGUCGCAGACUGGUCGGAAGAGAAGUCGCAAAAUCGUCGCCAAAUGUUACGACUGAAUUAAGACUGUUCUAUGACUAUAUAUUGUACUCGUAAAACAGUCGUACAUCAGUCGCUAAUUUCCGACUGAUUUGCGACCGUUUGGUUUUUGCGAAGCGUUGGUUUCCGACCUCAUGUUCAGUCGCAAAUCAGUCGUAAAGUGUGAUUUUGCGACUAAUUUGCUACCAAUUGUGUAGUCGGAACAUACAUGUUUUCUUGUAGUGAUGGCUACUAAAAUUGAUGACAUGGCUUCCGAAAAAUAUGACAUGGAUAAUUUUAUUUAAUGUUGAUUUAUAUUUUUGGCAAACUUAUUAGAAUAUGGUAAUAAUUCAUAUAUUACAUUUAAUAUUGAUAUUUCUUUUUGGUAAACUUUUUUAAAAUAUGGUAAUAGCCCAUAUUUUUUUCUAUAAAAUAAAUAUAUUCAUAUAUAACAUUUAAAAUUUUGAAAUAUUAUUACUUUUGUAUAAUUAUACAAUUUGUAUUACCAAAGCUUUCAAAAAUUUCUACAGUUUUUUUUAAAAAAAAAUCUAAUCGUAAGAACAUUAGUUUCUUAUAUAUCUACAAAUAUUAUAAAUAUUGUUUAGGCUAAAUUUUUGAUAAUUAUAGAAUUUUAUAUCAUUUUUAUUAAUUUUAUACAAAUUGAUUUAACAUAUAUUAAAUCUAUAUUAAAUAUUAGUAAGAAAAUAGUAAANNNNNNNNNNNNNNNNNNNNNNNNNNNNNNNNNNNNNNNNNNNNNNNNNNNNNNNNNNNNNNNNNNNNNNNNNNNNNNNNNNNNNNNNNNNNNNNNNNNNNNNNNNNNNNNNNNNNNNNNNNNNNNNNNNNNNNNNNNNNNNNNNNNNNNNNNNNNNNNNNNNNNNNNNNNNNNNNNNNNNNNNNNNNNNNNNNNNNNNNNNNNNNNNNNNNNNNNNNNNNNNNNNNNNNNNNNNNNNNNNNNNNNNNNNNNNNNNNNNNNNNNNAUAUAUAUAUAUAUAUAUGUGUUGCAGGUUAGCUAUUGGAGCAACACACAUCAUUUUCCUCAGUGGGUUAAAGAUAUUGCGAAUGGACCCAUGAAUAAGGCGAGAACAUGGCCCAUCUAUUUCACAAGAGGCUUUUUGUUCCAUAUGCAGAAGCAUGGCGAGGGAAGAAAGACAUGUAACUACGGUGUGAGUGUUAAAGGGGAGAGCUACACAAAUGCUUCUGAUGAAGCUGAUUACUACGGGAUCUUGACUGAUAUCAUACAAAUUCAGUAUGAGGGGUCGGUCGAUUUGAAAAUCACACUUUUUAAGUGUAAGUGGUAUGAUCCGUUAGUUGGUAGAGGCACUCGGCGGAGCAAUGGUGGCAUCGUCGAUGUUCUUUCAUCGAGGAAAUACCAUAAAUACGAACCAUUUAUUCUAGGUACGUAUUUUAUAUUGAACUUAUACUUUUAUGAUUUGAUACUUAAUUUAAUUAUACUUUUAUUAUUUGAUAUUACAUGCACAGCAUCUCAAGCAGAUCAUGUUUGUUAUAUCCCGUAUCCGUACGUUAAGAAACCAAAGCAUUUGUGGCUCAAUGUUUUGAAAGUGAAUCCGAGGGGAAUCAUUUCUGGAGAAUAUGAAAAUAAAGAACCGACAUUGUUGCAACAAGUAAAUGAUGAUGCUGUUUUAAUGACUACGGUUGAAGAUCUAGCAGUUGAUCAUUUGGUUUAUGCUCGGGUACAACCUAUAAAUCUCGAUGUUGAUGUGGAAGAUGUUGAACAAGAUGAUGAAUUUCAAUGUAAUAUAUCGUCAUCCGACGAAGAUGGAGAAGUACCCUACUAAAAUAUAGUAUAAUUUUCUAAACUUUGUUUAAAUAUGUAUUGUAAUAUAAUUUUGUAAACUUUGUUUUAAUGUGUAUUGUAAUAUAAUUUUGCAACUUUGUUUGUUGUGUAUUGUAAUAUAUUUUUGUUUAAAACAAAUAUAUAAUCAACUCAUAAACAAAGUAAAAUUAUUUCUCUGAGCCCUAAACCAACACAUUCUAGAUCACUACCCUAUACCCUAAAUUGUAUUAACCUUAAACUAAAACCAAAAAGACCCGGCCAAAUUUUCAUUUGGUGAUUGUGUUGUUAAUUUUCAUUUGGUGACUUAUGUAAAUAAGGUGAAAUUUUCACUCCCCGCGAAGCCUAAAUUAAUUCCCACCCAAAUUAAUUUAACCCUCCAAAGCCCAAAAUAAUUACUCUUAUAAUCGAUAAAAGAACAGAAACCCUAAUCACUUGUGUUCUCUCUGCCUUCAACACAUCUCACCUCUUUCUAUCGAUCUAAACUCUCCAUAUCCUCUGUUAAUCACUGAAGACGAUGUCGGGAAAGAAGAAACAGAAGAAGAUGUUCACCUCCAGUGCGAUGACACCAUCUCCCCUUCCCUCGCAGUACGAAUUCGUUCCAAGAACUCAAGCGCCUCCGCCUGUCCCGAACCGCCAACCUCCACCAUCUGUGUCUGACUAUCCACCUCCGGCACAGCUUUUCCAGGACUCGACGGUCCAAUCCAGAAGAGAUUCAACUCCAUCGCCACAGCCUCGAGGGUCUCAGACUUCACAGCCUCGAGGGUCUCAGACUUCACAGCCUCGAGGGUCUCGGACCUCACAGCCUCGAGCGUCUCAGACUUCACACCCUCGAGCGUCUCAGACUUCCCUACCUCAAGGAUCUCAGACUUCAGCGACUUGACAACCACAAUCGCCACAAUCUCAGAGCACUUCUGAAGCUCAGAACUCACAGACUGCAGAAGAUUCAGAAGAUGAAGAAUUUCCUCAUGUAGAACCCACUCUCUCCAAAGACCAGAUGGAUGUUGUCAAUGCUCUUCUAUCCCAGCCAGGCAGGGAGCGCUUAACUACC
rnacentral:lncRNA from 1 species